GGGAUAGUAGCUCAGCUGGUCAGAGCUGGCGGCUCAUAACCGCUUGGUCGGGAGUUCAAAUCUCUCCUGUCCCACCA
rnacentral:tRNA from 1 species